GCUUACGGCCAUACCAGCCCAAGAACAUCUGAUCUCGGAAGCUAAGACGGCUUGGGCCUGGUUAGUACUUGGAUGGGAGACCUCCUGGAAUGCCAGGUGCUGUAAGCU
ensembl:rRNA 5S_rRNA 5S ribosomal RNA